rnacentral:rRNA from 1 species
GACGAACGCUGGCGGCGUGCUUAACACAUGCAAGUCGAACGGAAAGGCCCUUCGGGGUACUCGAGUGGCGAACGGGUGAGUAACACGUGGGUGAUCUGCCCUGCACUUUGGGAUAAGCCUGGGAAACUGGGUCUAAUACCGGAUAGGACCACGCGCUUCAUGGUGUGUGGUGGAAAGCUUUUGCGGUGUGGGAUGGGCCCGCGGCCUAUCAGCUUGUUGGUGGGGUAAUGGCCUACCAAGGCGACGACGGGUAGCCGGCCUGAGAGGGUGACCGGCCACACUGGGACUGAGAUACGGCCCAGACUCCUACGGGAGGCAGCAGUGGGGAAUAUUGCACAAUGGGCGCAAGCCUGAUGCAGCGACGCCGCGUGAGGGAUGACGGCCUUCAGGUUGUAAACCUCUUUCGCCAGGGACGAAGCGCAAGUGACGGUACCUGGAGAAGAAGGACCGGCCAACUACGUGCCAGCCGCCGCGGUAACAC